GAUGAACGCUGACAGCAUGCUUAACACAUGCAAGUCAACUGUGGCGGACGGGUGAGUAACGCGUAAAGAACUUGCCUCCCAGCUAGGGACAACAUUUGGAAACGAAUGCUAAUACCUGAUACUGUGAGAUAGCUUUGCGUCCCAUUAGCUAGUUGGAGAGGUAACGGCUCACCAAGGCGAUGAUGGGUAGCCAGCCUGGGAGGGUGAUCGGCCACAAGGGGACUGGGAAACGGCCCUUACGCCUACGGGAGGCAGCAGUGGGGAAUAUUGGACAAUGGACCAAAGUCUGAUCCAGCAAUUCUGUGUGCACGAUGAAGUUUUCGGAAUGUAAAGUGCUUUCAGUUGGGAAGCGGUACCAACAGAAGAAGUGACGGCUAAAUACGUGCCAGCAGCCGCGGUAAUUC
rnacentral:rRNA from 1 species